CCUACGGGUGGCAGCAGUGGGGAAUAUUGCACAAUGGGCGCAAGCCUGAUGCAGCCAUGCCGCGUGUGUGAAGAAGGCCUUCGGGUUGUAAAGCACUUUCAGCGGGGAGGAAGGCGUUAAGGUUAAUAACCUUGUCGAUUGACGUUACCCGCAGAAGAAGCACCGGCUAACUCCGUGCCAGCAGCCGCGGUAAUACGGAGGGUGCAAGCGUUAAUCGGAAUUACUAGGCGUAAAGCGCACGCGGGCGGUCUGUCAAGUCGGAUGUGAAAUCCCCGGGCUCAACCUGGGAACUGCAUUCGAAACUGGCAGGCUAGAGUCUUGUAGAGGGGGGUAGAAUUCCAGGUGUAGCGGUGAAAUGCGUAGAGAUCUGGAGGAAUACCGGUGGCGAAGGCGGCCCCCUGGACAAAGACUGACGCUCAGGUGCGAAAGCGUGGGGAGCAAACAGGAUUAGAUACCCGAGUAGUC
rnacentral:rRNA from 1 species